rnacentral:lncRNA from 1 species
CGCCUUUUUCAGUCGUCGCUUCAAGUUCUCAUCUGAGGGAUUGUUUUCACCGUUCCAACGCAACCUCCUGUAAUGCGACCUAACUUACCAUUUGCUCUGCAAAACACAUGUUAGUCAUAUAUAAUCUUAUGUUGUCAUUAAUAACUAAAACCAACCUGGGGCCUAGAUGCUUUCAUAACCUAAGAACUUCGCAAAGCACAUAUACUAAUCAUCGAGUGAUUCUAUUAAGCACUUGGGUGUAUAGAGCUAUUGGAAAUAUGUUUCUACACUAUAGAAAUGUUCUUGAGCUCCCC